rnacentral:lncRNA from 1 species
CUAAAUGAUGCAACCCCUUUCACCAUGAACAACCAACCUUAGUGAUAUGCUUUUGGUACAAAGAAGAGCAGCACAAAUUAACGGAUAGAACUCCCUCUUAAAUUUGGGUACCGGGGAAUACUUGCCACUCUUUUGCAACCUAUUCAAAUCCUAUAAUACUGAUUCAUAUUCUCACGAGUUUAAAAUAAACACAAUAGUAGGCAUGAGAGUAUACCCAAACCAAAGAGCCUUGCUAGAGUUUCCAAAGAAUCACAGGGAUGGCUUCUUGAGUCAAUAAAUGAUGGUAGCUGACCCAAGGUCCAAACUACUCGCAAGAGAGUGUAGAGUUUGAUUUGGCUUUGAGCGAAUCCUGGUGAUGCUUGCGUCAAAGAGAAGAGCUAGGUUCCUGCGUGAUUGGGAAGCAAGACAGGGGCGCUCAACUAAGUGAAGGGCGGUUGGGUUUGAUUGUUUAUCUCAAGUCCCAGCGAUACUUGUGAGGGAAGAGACCGAUUCACUGGUGAAGCUCUGUUCAUCUGGUCGAAGGUGAAGAGAG